GUCCCCAUAGUCUAGCGGUCAAGGACAUCUGCCUCUCACGCAGGGAACGGCAGUUCAAAUCUGCCUGGGGAUA
rnacentral:tRNA from 1 species